CCUACGGGUGGCAGCAGUGGGGAAUAUUGGACAAUGGGGGCAACCCUGAUCCAGCCAUGCCGCGUGUGUGAAGAAGGCCCUCGGGUUGUAAAGCACUUUCAGUGAGGAAGAACGCCUGGUGGUUAAUACCCAUCAGGAAAGACAUCACUCACAGAAGAAGCACCGGCUAACUCCGUGCCAGCAGCCGCGGUAAUACGGGAGGGUGCGAGCGUUAAUCGGAAUUACUGGGCGUAAAGCGCGCGUAGGUGGCUUGAUAAGCCGGUUGUGAAAGCCCCGGGCUCAACCUGGGAACGGCAUCCGGAACUGUCAAGCUAGAGUGCAGGAGAGGAAGGUAGAAUUCCCGGUGUAGCGGUGAAAUGCGUAGAGGUCGGGAGGAAUACCAGUGGCGAAGGCGGCCUUCUGGACUGACACUGACACUGAGGUGCGAAAGCGUGGGUAGCAAACAGGAUUAGAUACCCUAGUAGUC
rnacentral:rRNA from 1 species